rnacentral:rRNA from 1 species
AUUAGCUAGUUGGUGAGGUAAAAGCUUAUCCAAGGCCGAGAUGGGUAGCUGGUCUGAGAGGAUGAUCAGCCACACUGGAACUGAAACACGGUCCAGACUCCUACGGGAGGCAGCAGUUGGGAAUCUUGCGCAAUGGAGGAAACUCUGACGCAGCGACGCCGCGUGAGCGAAGAAGGCCUUCGGGUUGUAAGCUCUGUCAGAAGGGAAGAACGCAUAGAAUUUAUAAUUCGGUGUUGACGGUACCUUCAGAGGAAGCACCGGCUAACUCUGUGCCAGCAGCCGCGGUAAUACAGAGGGUGCAAGCGUUGUUCGGAAUCACUGGGCGUAAAGAGUUCGUAGGUGGACUUAUUAGUAUAGGGUUAAAUACCGGGGCCUAACCCCGGAACUGCUCUAUAAACGGUAAGUCUAGAGUACUAGAGAGGAUAGCGGAAUUCCUGGUGUAGAGGUGAAAUUCGUAGAUAUCAGGAGGAACAUCAGAGGCGAAGGCGGCUAUCUGGCUAGGCACUGACACUAAAGAACGAAAGCAUGGGGAUCAAACAGGAUUAGAUACCCUGGUAGUCCAUGCCAUAAACGAUGACAACUAGACGUGGGAAUUGGUUGACAAUUUCCGUGUCGAAGCUAACGCGUUAAGUUGUCCGCCUGGGAAGUACGGUCGCAAGACUAAAACUCAAAGGAAUUGACGGGGACCCGCACAAGCGGUGGAUUAUGUGGUUUAAUUCGAAGCAACGCGCAGAACCUUACCUGGGCUUGACUUCUCAAGAAAAGCGCUAGAGAUAGCGCCUUAGGAUAUAGCAAUAUAUCCUCUUGAAGACAGGUGCUGCAUGGCUGUCGUCAGCUCGUGUUGUGAAAUAUUGGGUUAAGUCCCGCAACGAGCGCAACCCCUAUCUUUAGUUGCCAGCAUUAAGUUGGGCACUCUAGAGAGACUGCCUGCGUUAAGCAGGAGGAAGGUGGGGACGACGUCAAGUCCUCAUGGCCUUUAUGUCCAGGGCUACACACGUAAUACAAUGGCAAGUACAAAGGGUCGCGAAUCCGUGAGGUGAAGCUAACCUCAAAAAACUUGUCUCAGUUCGGAUUGAAGUCUGCAACUCGACUUCAUGAAGUUGGAAUCGCUAGUAAUCGCGGAUAAGUACGCCGCGGUGAAUACGUUCCCGGGUCUUGUACACACCGCCCGUCACACCAUGAAAGCUGAUUGCGCCAGACGUCCCAUUAGCUAACCUUGUGAAGCGUGGGCCCAAGGCUCGAUCGGUGAUUGGGGUGAAGUCGUAACAAGGUA